rnacentral:tRNA from 1 species
GAAAUAAUAAAAAUAGAACUUCUAAUUCUAAAAAAAAUGUUUAAUCAUUUAUAUUUCU